UUUGAUCGGAAUAAAUAUAAAUUCUUUUCUUAUUUCUAUUUUAUUGACCAAUAUAAACAUCAACAACUUCAAAUUGGACUUGUUUCCCCUCCAAAAAUAAAGGCUUGGGCUAACAAAAACCUACCUAAUGGAAAAGUCGUUGGCGAAGUCACAAGGCCCUCUACUUUUCAUUAUAAAACCGAUAAACCAGAAAAAGAUGGAUUGUUUUGUGAAAGAAUCUUUGGACCCAUAAAAAGCGGGAUUUGCGCUUGUGGCAAUUCUCGAGCAAGCGGAGCUGAAAACGAAGACGAAAGAUUUUUCCAAAAAUGCGGGUUAGAAUUUGUGGAUUCUCGGAUACGAAUAUAUCAAAUGGGAUACAUCAAACUCGCAUGUCCCGUGACUCAUGUGUGGUAUUUGAAUGGUCUUCCUAGGUAUACCACGAAUCUUUUAGAUAAACCUCUUAAGAAGUUGGAGGGCCUAGUAUACGGCGAUUUCUCUUUUGCUAGGCCCAACACUAAAAAACCCAAAUUGCAUCCUGUAACCACAGCAUUUCUCCCUUUUUUCUACCCCAGGCUUUGCAACAUUUCGAAAUCGGGAAAUUGCGACAGGAGCAGGUGCUAUUAG
rnacentral:rRNA from 1 species